UACGUAGGCAGCAAGCGUUGUUCGGAAUUACUGGGCGUAAAGAGUGUGUAGGCGGUGCUCCAAGUCUGGUGUGAAAUCUCCCGGCUUAACUGGGAGGGUGCAUUAGAAACUGGAAUGCUAGAGGAUGGGAGAGAUAAGCGGAAUUCCUGGUGUAGCGGUGAAAUGCGUAGAUAUCAGGAGGAACACCUGUGGUGUAGACAGCUUACUGGACCAUUUCUGACGCUGAGACACGAAAGCGUGGGUAGCAAACAGG
rnacentral:rRNA from 1 species